UCCGAUAUGGUGUAGUGGCUAACAUUAUCGCCUCUCAUUUGCAAGUGCGCGAUAGCCCGGGGUUCGAUUCCCCGUGUCGGAA
rnacentral:tRNA from 1 species